rfam:Pannonibacter phragmitetus strain 31801, complete genome.
CCCCUUUCAAUCGGCAAGCGAAAUGCCUAUAUUCCAACUGCCGGUUCACCGGCUACGGCGAUAAAUUGACUGUGUAAUAAGCCUAUCGGACCCGGGGGCGGUACCCGGCGCCUCCACCCAAGCCCACCCCAGCGGUGGGUUUCGGCGGGGGCGAAAUAGGAUCGACGAGGGUGUAAAGACUGCUCUUUCGCUCGGCAUGGUACCACCGAUAUCGGACCAAAUCUGUAGUUGCAAACGACAACUAUGCUCAGGACGUCGCUCUCGCCGCGUAAUGCGGUGCGAGUUGUCCACCUAAAGCCCUGACGGGUAGCACUGUCAGGCGGGGUUCGGAGGCACCUGGCAACAGAAGCCUCCACU